GCAGCAUCACGGAGCCUUCCCUGGAAGAGAAGAGAAGGAUAAGUGAGAGGUCAUAUGUGACCAGCUCCCCACCCUAAGAUUUGGCUGUAGAAUCAGCGAGGAUACCUCCCACCCCUGGCCAAAGUAUCUGUGGGGCGUUUCAGAGAGCUUUAAUUAGGAGGGGAGAUCCACCCUGAACCUGAGUGGUACCAUCCCCUGGACUGGGAUUCCAGACUAAAUAAAAGGGGAAGACAGGCUGAGCACCAGCAUUCAACUCUCUGCAUCCUGUGACUGCACGUGUAUCGUGCCCAGCUGCCUCGCACUCCUGUCUACACAUCUUCUAUGAUGGACUCCUCCCUUCUCCACCAGCAGCUGGACUAGACCUCUCCUUCCUUUGUCCUUGUUGGAUAGUUAGUCACAGAAGAGUGGACAUUACAGAAGAGUUGUUUCCCUUUA